CUUGUGUUUAAAGUAACACCCCAAGUCUCGUAUGCCCUAAUGUAAUAUUAAAAGUCUGAUGUUUAGAUGAUAAGAAAUAGUAAAUAUAGAUUUUUACCAUCUCCUAAGUUUUAUAAACUAUGGUAAGUCAAAAGUUAUGUACACAUGAUAUUUACCAAGGGAAAAGUUAACCUAGUUAGUAUGUGAUUAUAAGGAAAGUGUCAUGUGUUAAAAGGAUGAGGGGGUUAAAAUGAAAAGUGUGUGUGUGAUUAAAACACUUACAAAAAAAAAUGCCCAGUGAUUUAGAAGUGGGUGUGUGUGACCGUGAGAACAAGACCAAGGGGGAAACCCUAUUUCUUCAAAAUCUUGCAAAUUAAAGGAGAAAAGGGCUAAAUUUUGAAUGCAUGAACUAAGAAUGAUGAUCAUCUAAGCAUACCCAACAUCAAGAACGUGUCAAGGAGAGGUCAAGCAUAGGAGGAUAACGGGUCAAGAUAAGGCAAGGUGACAAAUACACUUAUUGGAGUACUCGAGGUAAGUGAAUUUCGAUUCACUUUUUAGUAGGUUUAAUAGAUUUUAAUACUUAUGUUUACGAAACAUCAUGAAAGAACAUGUGAUAAUCAGAAGUACAAAGCCAAUAAUGCCUCAUUAUUGAAGAAGGUUGUAUUUAAGCCGAAAGUAAAUUGGUGGGUUUAAACGGGUCGAAUUUUAUGUGCAUAUGUUGCGUAAUGUAAUGAAAUUCGUUAUGGUUAAGACCUUGGGUAAGAAUUUUAGUCAUUAUGUAAGGGGAACAUUUCCCGGACCAUUAGGAACAAGUUUUAUAUGAUUCGGUUGUCGGUUAGUGAAUGAACGGAUUGUUUCGUGUUAGUGUAGGAAAUUUUAUAAGUAUAUGUGUAUGGGAAUCCAAAGGCCACGUGGGUUGAAUCGUAGAUUGUCUAUACUAUGUAAAGUUGUAAAUGUGACAUUCCGGCAUAAACCUACAUGUAAAAGAAGCUUGUGUAUAUAUUCGUGAUUAAUUGAUUGUGCGUAGGAAGGAACAUUGGCAUGUAUGAAGGUACGCAUAUAUAUAUAUAUAAGUGUAUAUAUAUAUAUAUGUAUGUAUGUAUGAUAAUAAGUACGUAGGUGUGAAUGUAUGUGUGAAUGAAUGUUCAAUGCUUAAGACAUAUGCAUGAACGUAUCAAAGUGUUCGAGUAUUUAUGGAUACUAAUGAUGUGCGUUGAGUUGGAAUGUAAUGUAGGUAUGGGAUCGUUGGCUUCAUGAAGAAAUGGAGCUGGAUUUGGAUAAGAGUAUUUAAGAAAGCGCUUGGACAAUUCCACGACUACUUUAUAGAAUGCUCUACGAAAUUUUAUUAUAUAGUUUAAUGUUGAAUGGUAUGUUAAUGACUAACGGUUUGGUUGUACGUGGUGUCCACAUGUAUCGCUUGGGUUUUCUCUACAUUUAUUGAAGUGAAGCGGACUUAGUUCGAGUUGAGAGCAAGGAUUGUACGGGGUAGAAUGGUCACAUAGUGUAACUCAUAUAGGUUUUGAAGUAUUAAUGUUAUAAAACGUUAUAAAUCCGUUUUAAUGAAUAUAUGGCAUUUCGCUUUUGAACCUUCAUGUGUUUGAUAUGUCUAUUAAAGAACGAAAUUUUUGGGCUUUUGUUUUCCGCUGCAUCGUAUUUUAAGUUAUUACGCGUUAGUCUUACAGGGAAUUGUUCUUAUUACGAACGGGUCAUGCCCGAAUUUUGUUAAAUAAUAGUAUGAUAAUAUUACAUUUUGGAAUGUGUAAUUUGGGUGUAACAAGUUGGUAUCAGAGCCCUGGUUUGAGAGAAUUAAGUACGAGAGUAUAAGUACUUGAACUCAAACCUGUGUGCUCUUGUGAUAAGGAACCCGUACAAUCCAUGACUCGAUCAAGAUCUAAAGGUAGAAAUGGAACGAAAAUGUGUAAGUAUGUAUUAGAUUAUGUAUUUGAAAGAAACUAAUAGUGUGUUAUGUGCAAGGUAAGCUUAAGAGCUUGAAGAGGAUGAUCCGUGAAUACAGAAUAGGAUGAACGCUAAGGCGGGCAAAGGUGCAGAUAGGCAAAUUAACCCCAGGAACGUGUCAAGGAGAGGUCAAGCAUAGGAGGAUAACGGGUCAAGAUAAGGCAAGGUGACAAAUACACUUAUUGGAGUACUCGAGGUAUGGGAUCGUUGGCUUCAUGAAGAAAUGGAGCUGGAUUUGGAUAAGAGUAUUUAAGAAAGCGCUUGGACAAUUCCACGACUACUUUAUAGAAUGCUCUACGAAAUUUUAUUAUAUAGUUUAAUGUUGAAUGGUAUGUUAAUGACUAACGGUUUGGUUGUACGUGGUGUCCACAUGUAUCGCUUGGGUUUUCUCUACAUUUAUUGAAGUGAAGCGGACUUAGUUCGAGUUGAGAGCAAGGAUUGUACGGGGUAGAAUGGUCACAUAGUGUAACUCAUAUAGGUUUUGAAGUAUUAAUGUUAUAAAACGUUAUAAAUCCGUUUUAAUGAAUAUAUGGCAUUUCGCUUUUGAACCUU